CCGUGUCCUCUGUACCUCUGGCAGCCUAGAAACCAGCGGUAAUCUAUUUGGAAUUGCCCCUUCAGCACCUCCUGCUGGCAAGCUGUCGGUGUUCAGCUAGACAUCAGCAAUCACAUGAUCAGCAUGGCCUAAAUCGCCUUCAGCAAAAGCCUUUCUUCAUGGGACAUUUGGAAAAAAAAGGAACAUGGCUCUUGCUAUUUUUUAGUGAUAUAUGAGUGAUAUCAUCGACUUUUAAUGGUAGAAAAAAUCUGACUUGUGACGUCCCUUGAAAAUUGUUUUGGAGACAGGCAGGUUGAAAUCUGGAUUCACGAGACCUCUCGCCCCAGCCAUGCUUGAGGUGAUUGAUCCUUUUUGCUGACUGAAUAUUUUUGUCAUUAAACUG